UACGGGGGGGGCAAGCGUUGUUCGGAAUUACUGGGCGUAAAGGGUUUGUAGGUGGCUUGUUAAGUCAGACGUGAAAUCCCUCAGCUUAACUGGGGAACUGCGUCUGAUACUGGUGAGCUUGAGUGCAGGAGAGGAACGCGGAAUUCCAGGUGUAGCGGUGAAAUGCGUAGAUAUCUGGAGGAACACCGGUGGCGAAGGCGGCGUUCUGGACUGCAACUGACACUGUAAAACGAAAGCCAGGGGAGCAAACGGG
rnacentral:rRNA from 1 species